rnacentral:tRNA from 1 species
GGGGAUUUAGCUCAGUGGUGUAAGCGCCUGCCUGGGAAGCACGAGGCCAUGAGUUCAAUCCCUG